rnacentral:rRNA from 1 species
GAUGAACGCUAGCGGCAGGCUUAAUACAUGCAAGUCGAGGGGCAGCAUGGUGUAGCAAUACACUGAUGGCGACCGGCAAACGGGUGCGGAACACGUACAGAACCUUCCUUCGAGCGGGGAAUAGCCCAGAGAAAUUUGGAUUAAUACCCCAUAGUAUAAUGAAGAGGCAUCUCUUUAUUAUUAAAGAUUUAUCACUUGAAGAUGGCUGUGCGGCUGAUUAGGUAGUUGGCGGGGUAACGCCCACCAAGCCUACGAUCAGUAACUGGUGUGAGAGCACGACCAGUCACACGGGCACU